UGGGGGUAUGCUUGCUACCUGCCGGCGAGUGGCGAACGGGUGAGUAAUACAUCGGAACGUGCCCUGUAGUGGGGGAUAACUAGUCGAAAGACUAGCUAAUACCGCAUACGACCUGAGGGUGAAAGUGGGGGACCGCAAGGCCUCAUGCUAUAGGAGCGGCCGAUGUCUGAUUAGCUAGUUGGUGGGGUAAAGGCCCACCAAGGCGACGAUCAGUAGCUGGUCUGAGAGGACGAUCAGCCACACUGGGACUGAGACACGGCCCAGACUCCUACGGGAGGCAGCAGUGGGA
rnacentral:rRNA from 1 species